CCGGGUCUGACCAGUCCCAUCAUCGCUGGAGGAAGUGCGGCAGCCGCUGCCCUCCUCCUCCUCCUCGUGGCCUUCGUCUGCUUCAGAAAAACCCGAGCCAGAAAAGGAGGCGCACUGAGACCGAGCAGCACCAGCCCCUUGGGGGUGUUGGAGGCCCCGGCUCAGCAAGACCCUAUCUACGCUUCCAUUGACGAAGUGAAAGAGACACAGACCCUCGAGCCCAACCCUGGCACCGACGGACUCACCUAUGCCUAGGGACCUGGGG